rnacentral:rRNA from 2 species
ACUGCUCAGUAACACGUGGAUAACCUGCCCUUGGGACCGGCAUAACCCCGGGAAACUGGGGAUAAUUCCGGAUACCGCAUAUAUGCUGGAAUGCUUUAUGCGUGAAAUGGAUUCGUCUGCCCAAGGAUGGGUCUGCGGCCUAUCAGGUAGUAGUGGGUGUAAUGUACCUACUAGCCUACAACGGGUACGGGUUGUGAGAGCAAGAGCCCGGAGAUGGAUUCUGAGACAUGAAUCCAGGCCCUACGGGGCGCAGCAGGCGCGAAAACUUUACAAUGCGGGAAACCGUGAUAAGGGGACACCGAGUGCCAGCAUCAUAUGCUGGCUGUCCAGGUGUGUAAAAUACACCUGUUAGCAAGGGCCGGGCAAGACCGGUGCCAGCCGCCGCGGUAACACCGGCGGCCCGAGUGGUGAUCGUGAUUAUUGGGUCUAAAGGGUCCGUAGCCGGUUUGGUCAGUCCUCCGGGAAAUCUGACAGCUCAACUGUUAGGCUUUCGGGGGAUACUGCCAGACUUGGAACCGGGAGAGGUAAGAGGUACUACAGGGGUAGGAGUGAAAUCUUGUAAUCCCUGUGGGACCACCUGUGGCGAAGGCGUCUUACCAGAACGGGUUCGACGGUGAGGGACGAAAGCUGGGGGCACGAACCGGAUUAGAUACCCGGGUAGUCCCAGCCGUAAACGAUGCUCGCUAGGUGUCAGGCAUGGCGCGACCGUGUCUGGUGCCGCAGGGAAGCCGUGAAGCGAGCCACCUGGGAAGUACGGCCGCAAGGCUGAAACUUAAAGGAAUUGGCGGGGGAGCAC